rnacentral:rRNA from 1 species
GACGAACGCUGGCGGCGUGCUUAACACAUGCAAGUCGAACGCACGGCCUUGGGGUUUUCUUGGGGUUGGUGAGUGGCGAACGGGUGAGUAACACGUGAGUAACCUGCCCUCUUCUUUGGGAUAACGGUCGGAAACGGCUGCUAAUACUGGAUAUUCACACAUUGUCGCAUGGUGGUGUGUGGAAAGCUUUUGUGGUGGGGGAUGGGCUCGCGGCCUAUCAGCUUGUUGGUGGGGUGAUGGCUUACCAAGGCUUUGACGGGUAACCGGCCUGAGAGGGUGACCGGUCACAUUGGGACUGAGAUACGGCCCAG